UUUUCCCUUCCCUUUCCUUCCUUUCCCUUCCUUUCCUUUCUUUUCUUCCCUCACUUCUCCGCCCGGGUCGCCUCAUGGCGGCGCGGGGAGGGAGCGGCCGCAGCGGGCAGCCCUGAGGUGGCGGGGUUAGCCCGCCGGGGUCCCGCCGUGCAGGCGGCCAGGUGCCCCCCAAAUUAACAAAAAAUGAAAAAUAAGUGUCGGGGUGUGGAGGUGCUGCCCCUCCGUGUCUUGCAGGUGGGCUUGUGGAACCGCAGCGACGGGCGACUCAGUGGCAAAAGCACCCAGCAAAGCGGUGGCAGAGAAUGAAACAGAAGUUCCUAACGGCUACUUAAAUUCACACUGAAAACUGAUGGAGCUCUGAAGUGCGCAAGGAUUACUGAAGCAGAGGCGUUUAACACUUCUUUACUUCAGACCAUUCUUUUGUUUCCUAAAGCAACGUCAAAAGAAACAGGAAGCCUUCCAGAAUUCUGCUGUAGGAAUCGAUAACCAUGGUAUUAACAGGAGUACUCAAAGAAAACAUGCCAUUACGGAGAAGUUUAUAAACUAUUUGAGUCAGUUUUCACCAGGAGGAAACUGGAAACCUUGGUGAGAAACUCACCAGUAGUUUCACCUUCCUGGAAAUGGAAGGGAUUUUGAAGACAGAGUGGAUAAAUCUGAUGAAAUGGACAGUACCGAAACCAUUAGGACCAGCGGGAAGUUACCAGCAGGUGUGUGAAACUACACUUUGAAAAAUAUAAUGAUACCCGUUGUAUGCAGGAUGGCAAAUACAAUGUCAACUUUUAAAAAGAGUUGCAUGGAAGAUAGGGGGCCUGACAGCUGGACGCCUGGGUAAGUAUGAUUGACUUGGUAGGACCAACAUGACUUCACAGAGGAAAAUUCUGCCUUACAAAUGUACUGAAUUCCCUGAGGUCAACCUGCAUGUUGAAAAGAGGGGCUUGUAUAGCCUCGCUGCAUGUACAGGGAACUCACCUGCUUGGACAUGGGAAUGCAAGCCUAACUGCAGCAUCUGGAAUAUUUAUUUCCAACCUCACAUUACUUAGCAACAGCUAAACAGCUGUUUUUCUCACCUAUUCCCAACACCUUCCUUAAAUACCUGUCUCUAAGUCUUGGUGAUGAGUAAAGUGCAGCUCAGUCCCUCUAUCACCUUCCUUAACCUGCUCUUUUCUUAACACUAAUGUCUUACUCUGUCAUGAGAGGAGCAAUACCGUGCUAGUUCUGGAAAGUGAUUUCAAGGAAGAGAGCUUUCAAAGGUAGAUUUCUAGGAGGAACUGAAAGCAUUCUAACCACUAUAAUUACAAACCCUCUGUUCCUCUAGUUGUAGCUCCACU